rnacentral:rRNA from 1 species
UCGGGAAUUUUGGGCAAUGGGGGAAACCCUGACCCAGCAACGCCGCGUGAAGGAUGAAGUAUUUCGGUAUGUAAACUUCGAAAGAAUAGGAAGAAUAAAUGACGGUACUAUUUAUAAGGUCCGGCUAACUACGUGCCAGCAGCCGCGGUAAUACGUAGGGACCAAGCGUUGUUCGGAUUUACUGGGCGUAAAGGGCGCGUAGGCGGCAUGACAAGUCACUUGUGAAAUCUCUGGGCUUAACCCAGAACGGCCAAGUGAUACUGUCGCGCUAGAGUGCAGAAGGGGCAAUCGGAAUUCUUGGUGUAGCGGUGAAAUGCGUAGAUAUCAAGAGGAACACCUGAGGUGAAGACGGGUUGCUGGGCUGACACUGACGCUGAGGCGCGAAAGCCAGGGGAGCAAACAGGAUUAGAUACCCACGUAGUCCCUGAGCGGGCUGGCAAGGCGCAU